CAAGUUUUGAAAACGACAAAGAGACAAAGUUCAAGAUUACAAAGAAAACGAUCAAUUAUAUUUGGAAAAGUACACGUGACUGCAAGAAAAAUAGCCCAGCAAAUAACGUAUUAAAAUUGUGGUCGUCGUGUCAACUCGGGUCGCUUCUCUUUAUAUGGAAUAGCUUAAUAACUCCAUGCUGUUAAGCAGAUUUGAGGUGUGAGCCAGCCAUCAUAUCCACAAGAUAUGCAAGUUUUGCUUCUACUUUUAUUGACCUGUCAUUAGCAACAAUCGCAGUAUCAUCACUUAUUGGAUAAACAGCAUUUAAUUUUAUUGGGGAAACUACGGAUGAACGAUGUCGGCCGAGUAACGCCUUUUCUCCUCUGAUCUCGUGUACACCCAUGUGAGUGUGAUUCACGAGUCUGAGGCCCUUUUUCCUACCCCGCCUGGCGGAUUCAACUAUUCUCCCGAUGGAGCACUUGUGGAUGUCUGGCUGUAUUUCCCAGGCUGAAAGGUAGGAAAAAUUUAUUUCUAUUUCUUCUUUUGGCCGGUGGCGUUCAUUAUAAAAUAGUAUACGGAUUACGAUUAUUCCUGAGCCAUGUGGUUGCUGACUGGACUGUUUUUUCUUGCCAUUUUUGUUGACUCAGUUAGGGUUCAUUAGAUAAUUCAUUUGUAGAACGACUGCAGAUCAGGCUUGUUUGGUAUCUCACAACUUUUUCUGUG